rnacentral:rRNA from 1 species
UACGUAGGCAGCAAGCGUUGUUCGGAAUUACUGGGCGUAAAGAGUGUGUAGGCGGUGUUCUAAGUCUGUCGUGAAAUCUCCCGGGCUUAACCGGGAGGGUGCGGCGGGAAACUGGAAUGCUUGAGGGUGGGAGAGGUAAGCGGAAUUCCUGGUGUAGCGGUGAAUGAACGUAGAUAUCAGGAGGAACACCUGUGGUGUAGACAGCUUACUGGACCACUUCUGACGCUGAGACACGAAAGCGUGGGUAGCAAACAGG